rnacentral:rRNA from 1 species
GGGUUUACCCAUUGGUCAGGCUUAAUUGUCUGCACUGGUGAGAUGAAUCUCUACCUUCUGAGGAACUUUCAUGCCAUUUAUUUGGUGUGAUGGGAAAUCAGGACUGUUACUUUGAAAAAAUUAGAGUGUUUAAAGCAGGCUAACGUCUGAAUACAUUAGCAUGGAAUAAUGAAAUAGGACGGACUGAUUCUAUUUCGUUGGUUUCUAGGAUCACCGUAAUGAUUAAUAGGGAUAGUUGGGC